rnacentral:rRNA from 1 species
AUUGAACGCUAGCGGGAUGCUUUACACAUGCAAGUCGAACGGCAGCGCGGACUUCGGUCUGGCGGCGAGUGGCGAACGGGUGAGUAAUGUAUCGGAACGUGCCCAGUAGCGGGGGAUAACUACGCGAAAGCGUAGCUAAUACCGCAUACGCCCUACGGGGGAAAGCAGGGGAUCGUAAGACCCUGCACUAUUGGAGCGGCCGAUAUCGGAUUAGCUAGUUGGUGAGGUAACGGCUCACCAAGGCGACGAUCCGUAGCUGGUUUGAGAGGACGACCAGCCACACUGGGACUGAGACACGGCCCAGACUCCUACGGGAGGCAGCAGUGGGGAAUUUUGGACAAUGGGGGCAACCCUGAUCCAGCCAUCCCGCGUGUGCGAUGAAGGCCUUCGGGUUGUAAAGCACUUUUGGCAGGAAAGAAACGUCGCGGGCUAAUACCCCGUGGAACUGACGGUACCUGCAGAAUAAGCACCGGCUAACUACGUG